rnacentral:rRNA from 1 species
GACGAACGCUGGCGGCGUGCCUAAUACAUGCAAGUCGGGCGGACCGAACGAGGGCUUGCUCUUUUUUGGUCAGCGGCGGACGGGUGAGUAACACGUGGGCAACCUGCCCGUAAGACCGGGAUAACUCCGGGAAACCGGAGCUAAUACCGGAUAAUACCGAAGACCGCAUGGUCCACGGGUGAAAGGCGGCCUUUGGGCUGGCACUAGCGGAUGGCGCCGUGGCUCAUUAGGUAGGUGGUGAGGCAACUGGCCAACAAAGCGACGCUGCCCAGCCCGGCUGGGGGGGUGGAUCGGCCACCUGGGAACGGGACCACGCUCCAGACUCUGACGGGAGCAACCGGAGGGGAACCUCCGCCAAGGGGCGAAAGCCGGCGGCAGGACGCCGGGGGGGGUGAGGAAGGCUUCGGGUCGUUAAGCUCUGUUGUGUGGGAAGAAAGAGCGCCGUUCGAAGAGGGCGGCGCAGUGACGGUACCUAACGAGAAAGCCCCGGCUAACUACGUG